GACGAACGCUGGCGGCGUGCCUAAUACAUGCAAGUUGAGCGCUGAAGGUUGGUACUUGUACCAACUGGAUGAGCAGCGAACGGGUGAGUAACGCGUGGGGCAUCUGCCUUUGAGCGGGGGACAACAUUUGGAAACGAAUGCUAAUACCGCAUAAAAACUUUAAACACAAGUUUUAAGUUUGAAAGAUGCAAUUGCAUCACUCAAAGAUGAUCCCGCGUUGUAUUAGCUAGUUGGUGAGGUAAAGGCUCACCAAGGCGAUGAUACAUAGCCGACCUGAGAGGGGGAUCGGCCACAUUGGGACGGAGACAGGGCCCAAACGACUAAGGGAGGGAGCAGUAGGGAAUGGUAGGCAAUGGACGAAAGUCUGACCGAGCAACGCCGCGGGAGGGAAGAAGGGUCUCGGAUCGGAAAAAUCGGUUGGUAGAGAAGAACGUUGGUGAGAGUGGAAAGCGCAUCAAGUGACGGUAACUACACAGAAAGGGACGGCUAACUACGUG
rnacentral:rRNA from 1 species